rnacentral:rRNA from 1 species
GGGUUGUGAGGUUAAGCGACUAAGCGUACACGGUGGAUGCCCUGGCAGUCAGAGGCGAUGAAGGACGUGCUAAUCUGCGAUAAGCGUCGGUAAGGUGAUAUGAACCGUUAUAACCGGCGAUUUCCGAAUGGGGAAACCCAGUGUGAUUCGUCACACUAUCAUUAACUGAAUCCAUAGGUUAAUGAGGCGAACCGGGGGAACUGAAACAUCUAAGUACCCCGAGGAAAAGAAAUCAACCGAGAUUCCCCCAGUAGCGGCGAGCGAACGGGGAGGAGCCCAGAGCCUGAAUCAGUGUGUGUGUUAGUGGAAGCGUCUGGAAAGGCGCGCGAUACAGGGUGACAGCCCCGUACACAAAAAUGCACAUGCUGUGAGCUCGAUGAGUAGGGCGGGACACGUGGUAUCCUGUCUGAAUAUGGGGGGACCAUCCUCCAAGGCUAAAUACUCCUGACUGACCGAUAGUGAACCAGUACCGUGAGGGAAAGGCGAAAAGAACCCCGGCGAGGGGAGUGAAAAAGAACCUGAAACCGUGUACGUACAAGCAGUGGGAGCACGCUUAGGCGUGUGACUGCGUACCUUUUGUAUAAUGGGUCAGCGACUUAUAUUCUGUAGCAAGGUUAACCGAAUAGGGGAGCCGAAGGGAAACCGAGUCUUAACUGGGCGUUAAGUUGCAGGGUAUAGACCCGAAACCCGGUGAUCUAGCCAUGGGCAGGUUGAAGGUUGGGUAACACUAACUGGAGGACCGAACCGACUAAUGUUGAAAAAUUAGCGGAUGACUUGUGGCUGGGGGUGAAAGGCCAAUCAAACCGGGAGAUAGCUGGUUCUCCCCGAAAGCUAUUUAGGUAGCGCCUCGUGAAUUCAUCUCCGGGGGUAGAGCACUGUUUCGGCAAGGGGGUCAUCCCGACUUACCAACCCGAUGCAAACUGCGAAUACCGGAGAAUGUUAUCACGGGAGACACACGGCGGGUGCUAACGUCCGUCGUGAAGAGGGAAACAACCCAGACCGCCAGCUAAGGUCCCAAAGUCAUGGUUAAGUGGGAAACGAUGUGGGAAGGCCCAGACAGCCAGGAUGUUGGCUUAGAAGCAGCCAUCAUUUAAAGAAAGCGUAAUAGCUCACUGGUCGAGUCGGCCUGCGCGGAAGAUGUAACGGGGCUAAACCAUGCACCGAAGCUGCGGCAGCGACACUGUGUGUUGUUGGGUAGGGGAGCGUUCUGUAAGCCUGCGAAGGUGUGCUGUGAGGCAUGCUGGAGGUAUCAGAAGUGCGAAUGCUGACAUAAGUAACGAUAAAGCGGGUGAAAAGCCCGCUCGCCGGAAGACCAAGGGUUCCUGUCCAACGUUAAUCGGGGCAGGGUGAGUCGACCCCUAAGGCGAGGCCGAAAGGCGUAGUCGAUGGGAAACAGGUUAAUAUUCCUGUACUUGGUGUUACUGCGAAGGGGGGACGGAGAAGGCUAUGUUGGCCGGGCGACGGUUGUCCCGGUUUAAGCGUGUAGGCUGGUUUUCCAGGCAAAUCCGGAAAAUCAAGGCUGAGGCGUGAUGACGAGGCACUACGGUGCUGAAGCAACAAAUGCCCUGCUUCCAGGAAAAGCCUCUAAGCAUCAGGUAACAUCAAAUCGUACCCCAAACCGACACAGGUGGUCAGGUAGAGAAUACCAAGGCGCUUGAGAGAACUCGGGUGAAGGAACUAGGCAAAAUGGUGCCGUAACUUCGGGAGAAGGCACGCUGAUACGUAGGUGAAGUCCCUCGCGGAUGGAGCUGAAAUCAGUCGAAGAUACCAGCUGGCUGCAACUGUUUAUUAAAAACACAGCACUGUGCAAACACGAAAGUGGACGUAUACGGUGUGACGCCUGCCCGGUGCCGGAAGGUUAAUUGAUGGGGUCAGCGCAAGCGAAGCUCUUGAUCGAAGCCCCGGUAAACGGCGGCCGUAACUAUAACGGUCCUAAGGUAGCGAAAUUCCUUGUCGGGUAAGUUCCGACCUGCACGAAUGGCGUAAUGAUGGCCAGGCUGUCUCCACCCGAGACUCAGUGAAAUUGAACUCGCUGUGAAGAUGCAGUGUACCCGCGGCAAGACGGAAAGACCCCGUGAACCUUUACUAUAGCUUGACACUGAACAUUGAGCCUUGAUGUGUAGGAUAGGUGGGAGGCUUUGAAGUGUGGACGCCAGUCUGCAUGGAGCCGACCUUGAAAUACCACCCUUUAAUGUUUGAUGUUCUAACGUUGACCCGUAAUCCGGGUUGCGGACAGUGUCUGGUGGGUAGUUUGACUGGGGCGGUCUCCUCCUAAAGAGUAACGGAGGAGCACGAAGGUUGGCUAAUCCUGGUCGGACAUCAGGAGGUUAGUGCAAUGGCAUAAGCCAGCUUGACUGCGAGCGUGACGGCGCGAGCAGGUGCGAAAGCAGGUCAUAGUGAUCCGGUGGUUCUGAAUGGAAGGGCCAUCGCUCAACGGAUAAAAGGUACUCCGGGGAUAACAGGCUGAUACCGCCCAAGAGUUCAUAUCGACGGCGGUGUUUGGCACCUCGAUGUCGGCUCAUCACAUCCUGGGGCUGAAGUAGGUCCCAAGGGUAUGGCUGUUCGCCAUUUAAAGUGGUACGCGAGCUGGGUUUAGAACGUCGUGAGACAGUUCGGUCCCUAUCUGCCGUGGGCGCUGGAGAA